UUGACUAGUUUAGAAGCGUAAUUCAGAUGACUAGAGUCCAAGAGCCAAAGAGCAUAGACCUCUGGCGGGCGCCCGCCAGGCAGGCAGCCCGCCAAAGCAACAGUUUCGGGUGCGCGAUGGGUUUGAGUGUAUAAACUCGGUAAUGAUCCCUCCGCUGGUUCACCAACGGAGA
rnacentral:misc_RNA from 1 species